CAAAAACCUUCACAAAACGACACACCAUUUUUCUCUUGGUUGGCAAACCACUGAAUAUCCAAGGAUAUUCCGAGUUACGGGAGCCAAUCAAAACGCGC